rnacentral:rRNA from 1 species
GACGAACGCUGGCGGCGUGCUUAACACAUGCAAGUCGAACGGAAAGGCCUGCAGCUUGCUGCGGGUACUCGAGUGGCGAACGGGUGAGUAACACGUGGGUGAUCUGCCUUGCACUUCGGGAUAAGCUUGGGAAACUGGGUCUAAUACCGGAUAGGACAGCUGUUUAGUGUCAGUUGUGGAAAGUUUUUUCGGUGCAAGAUGAGCUCGCGGCCUAUCAGCUUGUUGGUGGGGUAAUGGCCUACCAAGGCGUCGACGGGUAGCCGGCCUGAGAGGGUGUACGGCCACAUUGGGACUGAGAUACGGCCCAGACUCCUACGGGAGGCAGCAGUGGGGAAUAUUGCACAAUGGGCGGAAGCCUGAUGCAGCGACGCCGCGUGGGGGAUGAAGGCCUUCGGGUUGUAAACUCCUUUCGACAGGGACGAAGCUUUUGUGACGGUACCUGUAGAAGAAGCACCGGCUAACUACGUG